UGGGGAAUUUUGCACAAUGGGGGAAACCCUGAUGCAGCGACGCCGCGUGAUUUAGAAGGCCUUCGGGUUGUAAAAAUCUUUUCUAUGGGAAGAAAAUGACAGUACCAUAGGAAUAAGGACCGUCUAAUUACGUGCCAGCAGCCGCGGUAAUACGUAAGGUCCGAGCGUUGUCCGGAAUCAUUGGGCGUAAAGGGUACGUAGGCGGGUAAGCAAGUUAGAAGUGAAAUCCUAUAGCUCAACUAUAGUAAGCUUUUAAAACUGCUCAUCUUGAGGUAUGGAAGGGAAAGUGGAAUUCCUAGUGUAGCGGUGAAAUGCGCAGAUAUUAGGAGGAAUACCGGUGGCGAAGGCGACUUUCUGGCCAUAACCUGACGCUGAGGUACGAAAGCGUGGGUAGCAAACAGG
rnacentral:rRNA from 1 species